rnacentral:rRNA from 1 species
AACGAACGCUGGCGGCAGGCCUAACACAUGCAAGUCGAACGAACCUUUUAGGUGAGUGGCGCACGGGUGCGUAACGCGUGGGAAUAUGCCCUUGAGUGAGGAAUAACGUAGAGAAAUUUGCGCUAAUACCUCAUAAUGACUCCGGUCCAAAGAUUUAUCGCUCAAGGAUUAGCCCGCGUUAGAUUAGAUAGUUGGUGAGGUAAUGGCUCACCAAGUCAACGAUCUAUAGGGGGUCUGAGAGGAUGAUCCUCCACACUGGUACUGAGACACGGACCAGACUCCUACGGGAGGCAGCAGUGAGGAAUAUUGCGCAAUGGGCGAAAGCCUGACGCAGCCAUGCCGCGUGAGUGAAGAAGGCCUUAGGGUUGUAAAGCUCUUUCAGAUGCGAAGAUAAUGACGGUAACAUCAGAAGAAGCUCCGGCUAAAUUCGUGCCAGCAGCCGCGGUAAUACGAAUGGAGCAAGCGUUGUUCGGAAUCACUGGGCUUAAAGCGUGCGCAGGCGGAUAUGAAAGUCAGAAGUGAAAUCCCGGGGCUCAACCCCGGAACUGCUUUUGAAACUUCAUAUCUAGAAUCCGGUAGAGGUUAGGAGAAUUCCCAGUGUAGAGGUGAAAUUCGCAGAGAUUGGGAGGAAUAUCAGUGGCGUAGGCGCCUAACUGGGACCGGUAUUGACGCUCAGGCACGAAAGCGUGCGGAGCAAACAGGAUUAGAUACCCUGGUAGUCCACGCCGUAAACGAUGUGCACUGGGU